UGGGGAAUAUUGGACAAUGGGCGCAAGCCUGAUCCAGCCAUGCCGCGUGUGUGAAGAAGGUCUUCGGAUUGUAAAGCACUUUAAGUUGGGAGGAAGGGCAUUAACCUAAUACGUUAGUGUUUUGACGUUACCGACAGAAUAAGCACCGGCUAACUCUGUGCCAGCAGCCGCGGUAAUACAGAGGGUGCAAGCGUUAAUCGGAAUUACUGGGCGUAAAGCGCGCGUAGGUGGUUUGUUAAGUUGGAUGUGAAAGCCCCGGGCUCAACCUGGGAACUGCAUCCAAAACUGGCAAGCUAGAGUACGGUAGAGGGUGGUGGAAUUUCCUGUGUAGCGGUGAAAUGCGUAGAUAUAGGAAGGAACACCAGUGGCGAAGGCGACCACCUGGACUGAUACUGACACUGAGGUGCGAAAGCGUGGGGAGCAAACA
rnacentral:rRNA from 1 species